rnacentral:rRNA from 1 species
UACCAGCACCCCGAGUGGUCGGGACGAUUAUUGGGCCUAAAGCAUCCGUAGCCGGUCAUGCAAGUCUUCCGUUAAAUCCAGCCGCUCAACGGUUGGGCUGCGGAGGAUACUACGUGGCUAGGAGGCGGGAGAGGCAAGCGGUACUCAGUGGGUAGGGGUAAAAUCCUUUGAUCCGAUUGAAGACCACCAGUGGCGAAGGC